ensembl:lncRNA
GCUGCGCUGCUCCGGGAGCGCAACUGCUGCCGCAAAGUUGGAGCAGAAGUUCCUCCCUUAAUGGCCGCUCGCUAAGGUGGAAAGCCGCCUCGCGAGGACCGCGAUCGACACCCUUUGUGGGCUAAGCGAGUGUUAGCCGGCCGCUGAUGGCUGAACAGAACUUGGGCUUUGUUAAAACACGCUGCUAAGUCCGAGGCGUGCUCGCCCCGCUCUGGGUCCUCUCCUGUGGUCGCCUUUAAGUAUCGUUGCGGGACGGCCACGUUAGAGCCCUCUGCGCCUAUUAGUAACACUCGAUCGCCACGUUCCCACUUUUCGCCCUUUACAGAUUGUUUUUUUGGCUUUCUUCGCUACUACGGUUAGUUUUCUAUAAGCGCGAUGUUACUUACCCCGUCAGAGCUUGAAUGGUUAACUCUUCCCAGCUUCUAAGAGCAACUACAGAUUUGCACAUUUACUGACCGGUUACAUUGAUGCCUUCCCUUAAAAGUUAUAAAACAGUAAACUUUAUAAGCCCCAGUUCCGGCUAUAUGACAUUUGGGUGCCAAAUGAAUAGGGUUUUGUCUAUGAAUUAGAUCGUAAAAUCAUCCAUAGCACAGACAGAUAGGCUCACUGGCUAUAAAAAGUCACGUGGUGCCAUUAAAGUAAGUUUUAUGGUUUUGGGGAGUUGACAUCCAACAUUAUAUACCACAUAACAUAUAAUCUCACUGACGCUGGACUUCAUUUGACUCUUUUGCAGGCUACGUGUGCCUCCUGGCCAUUCACAUUGUCACUUUUAGGUACAGAAGUAUCCAAACCACAAGUUCUCAAUACUGUGUGAAAAAAUGGCUCCCUGCAAGUCGAGCGUGCUGCUGAGUCUGUGUGCGUGUGUGUAACCGCAUUUCCUCUCCACGCAGAGUAAAUAGAGGAACUUAUCUAUUACCCCAGUUAAAGAGUUCCAUAGAUGUUCUGUUGGAAACGAGUAAGUAAACGUGUUUUAACUCUCUUUACAAAUUAGCCAUUCGAUAUGAGCAGGAAAUGAGUGAUUGUUUAGAUAAGUAGCUCAGUAUGCCCAAGUGCUGGCAAUGUUCGAACAUCUUACGAACCGCCUGCAGUGUGCGUGUGUCCGUGUGUGUCAAACACAGAUCGAUACUCCGUGCGCCUACUUGGGUAGAAUAGAUCUCCAAAUGGAAUUUUAUUCCACGUGCCCAUUAUCUAUAAAACGGCUGAGGACAAUAAUCCGAAUUUUAAGCAGAGUAACUGUUAGUGUCGUAUCUUUAGGAGGGCGAGAUCUAAAGCGCGUCGUACUUACGCCUGGUAUAUUAGAUGUAUUUUCCCACACGGGAGGGUGAGAUUACCCACUCCGCGAUUAUACUCUCAAAAGAUGCGGUAAAUAUUUCUGUGGCUGUAUACGCUCUCACGUAAAGGAAAAAAAAAAAAUCGGAAAAGUUCGCUUCUAACUUCCAAUCUGCACGAGCAAAUGGCGUUCGAUAGUAUUUUUUUCCCCUUAGAAUAAGAGCGUAAUUAGUUUAACCAUCAAAUUUCAAUUACCUAAGGUCAGGGCGGGUGCCUCUUUUCCCUCUGAGCUGAAAAUAUCGUUAACAAUCUCAGCCCCAGCAACGCAGCAGUGGCCGGGUGCCCUCUCCCUCCCUCGCCAGGCGUUCUGCGAAGGCGAGAAAGAUUUCUCUUGGAACCGAGAAUUCAGAAAUAGAGCCAGCACCAGGCAAGAGAAGCGACAGUCUUACAUUCGUAGCUGGAAAGCGCAGCUCCGCGGGGAGGGAUGUUCGCAGCGAGCCCCGCGGCAGCCGGUAGGAAGCGUUUAUAGCACCGCGCCGCCUUCCCUCUCCUCCCCGUUAUUCCCCGGCUCCCCGUGCCCCCCGCACCCCACGAGACACGGAGGGGCUCCCCUCGGCCUUCCCGCGACGUCCGCGCUAACUUUGGGAUCUGCUCUUCCAGCAAGCGGGCUGCAGGGGGACGGGAGCUGCCGGCUCUCGGCUCGGGGAGAGGUCGCAGCGAAGGGAGGGGGUGAGGUGACCUCCACCCCGCAGCCCCGACGAGAGGCGUUGGGUGAUGGGUGCGUGGAGAGCUAUUGUGCAACGCUCAGCUCAGCGCCUGCCUCCCUCCCCGGGGCUGCGCACUGCUUCCCCUGCCCGCUUUCUGACACGAAAGGAGGAAAAAAAAAAAAUAGAAAAGAAAAGAAAAAAAAAAAAAGAUGACGAGGGUGAGGACUGUCAGUUCUGGAUUAGUUUUAUCUCGCUUGACACCGCGAGUGCCGGCCGUAACCCGGGCGGGAGGAGGCGGCGAUGCCGUUGAGCAGCGGGCGCGGGGCGCGGCGGGGCCCGGGAGGAG